UACGAAGGGGCUAGCGUUGCUCGGAAUCACUGGGCGUAAAGCGCACGUAGGCGGAUCGUUAAGUCGGAGGUGAAAUCCUGGAGCUCAACUCCAGAACUGCCUUCGAUACUGGCGAUCUUGGAGUCCGGGAGAGGUGAGUGGAACUCCGAGUGUAGAGGUGAAAUUCGUAGAUAUUCGCAAGAACACCAGUGGCGAAGGCGGCUCACUGGCCCGAUACUGACGCUGAGGCACGAAAGCGUGGGGAGCAAACAGG
rnacentral:rRNA from 1 species